AACGUAGGACACAAGCGUUAUCCGGAGUUACUGGGUGUAAAGGGCGUGUAGGCGGACCUAUAAGUCUAUUCUGAAAGCUCCUGGCUAAACUGGGAGAGGCGAAUGGAGACUGUAGAUCUAGAGUGAGGAAGAGGAAAGUGGAAUUCCGCGUGUAGUGGUGAAAUGCGUAGAGAUGCGGAGGAACACCAGUGGCGAAAGCGACUUUCUGGUCCUUAACUGACGCUGAGGCGCGAAAGCAUGGGGAGCGAACGGG
rnacentral:rRNA from 1 species